rnacentral:rRNA from 1 species
UUCUUGCCUGAUGGGGCUAGAUUCUAUACCUUUGGCCUGGCUGUGAUUUGCUGGGCCAUGUGGAUAUGUCGUAACAGGGCCACUUUCGAGCAAAAAUUGAGAACUCCUUUUGAUGUGGUCUUCUCUGCAUGUGGUUACAUGAACUACUGGGCAGGUCUGAUGGUGGGAGCUGAUCGAGAGGCGAUGGAGCGCGGCGCUAAGAUGCUCAAGACCAACGCAGCUGCCAUGAUGAGGAUUUGUGCAGCUCCAGCUGGAUCAACAAUGGACUGGAGGAUGCAGCCGUCGACUCUGUCUUCACCUGCCUUUUCCCUCCUCCCCCCUAUGGCUGUUAGUGUAAUGAUACUUGUUUCAUUUGGUACUUUCGCCCCUGCGUGGGUUUUGCCUGAUGCUCAAAUGUGA